AUUGAACGCUGGCGGCGUGCCUAACACAUGCAAGUCGCACGCGAAAGGGGGCAACCCCACGUAGAGUGGCGGACGGGUGAGCAACGCGUAGGAAUCUACCUAGUAGUGGGGGACAACCCGGCGUAAGCCGGGCUAAUACCGCAGACGACCUAAGGGUGAAAGCAGGGGACCGCAAGACCUUGAGCUUUUAGAUGAGCCUGCGUCCGAUUAGCUAGUUGGUGGGGUAACGGCUCACCAAGGCGACGAUCGGUAACUGGCUUGAGAGAACGACCAGUCACAUUGGGACUGAGACACGGACCAAACUCCUACGGGAGGCAGCAGUGGGGAAUAUUGGACAAUGGGGGCAACCCUGAUCCAGCGAAGCAGCGUGUGUGAAGAAGGCCUUCGGGUUGUAAAGCACUUUCGGCAGGGACAAACAAGACGGAGCUAACAUCUCCGUUCCUGAUGGUACCUGAAGAAGAAGCACCGGCUAACUCUGUGCCAGCCGUCGCGGUAA
rnacentral:rRNA from 1 species